GACCCUAUAGUGUAGUGGCUAGCACGCAACCCUUUCAAGGUUGUAGGCGGAGUUCGAAUCUCCGUAGGGUUAC
rnacentral:tRNA from 1 species